rnacentral:rRNA from 1 species
UACGUAGGUGGCGAGCGUUGUCCGGAAUUACUGGGUGUAAAGGGCGUGUAGGCGGGGAUGUAAGUCAGAUGUGAAAUGCCGGAGCUUAACUCCGGAGCUGCAUCUGAAACUGCGUCUCUUGAGUGCCGGAGAGGAAAGCGGAAUUCCCAGUGUAGCGGUGAAAUGCGUAGAUAUUGGGAGGAACACCAGUGGCGAAGGCGGCUUUCUGGACGGUAACUGACGCUGAGGCGCGAAAGCGUGGGGAGCAAACAGG